rnacentral:rRNA from 1 species
CAGUAGCCGCGGGAAAACGUAGGGUGCGAGCGCUAAUCGGAAUUACUGGGCGUAAAGCGUGCGCAGGCGGUUGUGUAAGACAGGUGUGAUAUCCCCGGGCUUAACCUGGGAACUGCGCUUGUGACUGCACAGCUAGAGUAUGGCAGAGGGGGGUGGAAUUCCACGUGUAGCAGUGAAAUGCGUAGAGAUGUGGAGGAACACCGAUGGCGAAGGCAGCCCCCUGGGCCAAUACUGACGCUCAUGCACGAAAGCGUGGGGAGCAAACAGGAUUAGAUACCCCUGUAGUCCCUGUCUCUUAUAC